GCAGUCGCAGCCGAGUGAUUAAGGCGAUGAACUAGAAACCCUUUGGGGUCUCCCCGCACAGGUUCAAAUUCUGUCAACUGCG
rfam:Ixodes scapularis strain Wikel colony gcontig_1108378527268, whole genome shotgun sequence.